rnacentral:rRNA from 1 species
GAUGAACGCUGGCGGCGUGCCUAACACAUGCAAGUCGAACGGAAAGACGCUGAGCUUGUGCCUUUGACGUUAGCGGCGGGCGGGCGUGUAACGAGUGUAUCACCUUCUUAUUUUUCUGGGAUAAUUACGGAAAACCGGAUCUUAUACCAGAGCAUAUAUUGAACCGCGGGGGUCAUUAGAGAUUUACGGCUUUCGUGUCUGGAUUAGCGGAUUCCGCGCUGGAUUAGCUAGUUGGUAAGGUAACGGCCUACCAAGGCUACGAUGCGUAGCCGAUCUGAGAGGCUGAUCGGCCACACUGGAACUGAGACACGGUCCAGACUCCUACGGGAGGCAGCAGUGGGGAAUCUUGGGCAAUGGGCGCAAGCCUGACGCAGCCAGCCCGCGUGAGUGACGAAGGCCUUCGGGUCGUAAAGCCCUGUUGUUGGGGAAGAACAGCUGUAGACUUAUACAUAGCCGUCCUGACGGUACCUAAUGAAUAAGCACCGGCUAACUACGUG